rnacentral:rRNA from 1 species
ACUCAGGCGGUACGAGGAGUGGGCGGUGCGUCUCGAUUAGGUAGUUGGUAUGGGUAACGGCCUACCAAGCCUGCGAUCAGUAGCUGGCGUGAGAGCGCGACCAGCCACACUGGAACUGAGACACGGUCCAGACUCCUACGGGAGGCAGCAGUAGGGAAUAUUGGGCAAUGGGCGCAAGCCUGACCCAGCCAUGCCGCGUGAAGGAUUAAGGCCCUCUGGGUUGUAAACUUCUUUUAUCAGGGAAGAAACCUCUCGAUUCAUCGAGAGCUGACGGUACCUGAGGAAUAAGCACCGGCUAACUCCGUG